UAGGGAAUAUUGCGCAAUGGGCGAAAGCCUGACGCAGCGACGCCGCGUGAGUGAUGAAGGCCUUAGGGUCGUAAAGCUCUGUUGAAUGGGAAGAAAAAAAUGACGGUACCAUUCGAGAAAGGAUCGGCUAACUUCGUGCCAGCAGCCGCGGUAAGACGAGGGAUCCUAGCGUUGUUCGGAAUCAUUGGGCGUAAAGCGUGUGUAGGUGGCCAUUCAAGUCAGUUGUGAAAGCCCCGGGCUUAACCCGGGAAGUGCUUCUGAUACUGUUUGGCUUGAGUACUGGAGAGGAUAGUAGAAUUCCUGGUGUAGUGGUGAAAUACGUAGAUAUCAGGAGGAAUACCGGUGGCGAAGGCGGCUAUCUGGCCAUGUACUGACGCUGAGACACGAAAGCGUGGGGAGCAAA
rnacentral:rRNA from 1 species